UACAGAGGGUGCAAGCGUUAAUCGGAAUUACUGGGCGUAAAGCGUGCGUAGACGGUAGCGUAAGUCGGGUGUGAAAGCCCCGGGCUCAACCUGGGAAUUGCAUUCGAGACUGCUCUGCUAGGGUGCGGAAGAGGGGAGCGGAAUUUCCGGUGUAGCGGUGAAAUGCGCAGAUAUCAGGAGGAACACCGAUGGCGAAGGCAGGUCUCUGGGCCGUAACUGACGCUGAGGAGCGAAAGCGUGGGGAGCGAACAGG
rnacentral:rRNA from 1 species